rnacentral:rRNA from 1 species
AUGAGCCAUACAAUGAAGCUAUGGGAGAGAGUCAUUGAGCACCGCUUAAGAAGAAUGACAAGCGUGACCAAAAAUCAGUUUGGUUUCAUGCCUGGGAGGUCGACCAUGGAAGCCAUUUUCUUGGUACGACAACUUAUGGAGAGAUAUAGGGAGCAAAAGAAGGACUUGCAUAUGGUGUUCAUUGACUUGGAGAAGGCCUAUGAUAAGAUACUGCGGAAUGUCAUGUGGUGGGCCUUGGAGAAACACAAAGUCCCAGCAAAGUACAUUACCCUCAUCAAGGACAUGUACAAUAAUGUUGUGACAAGUGUUUGA